UACGUAGGGGGCAAGCGUUGUCCGGAAUUAUUGGGCGUAAAGCGCGCGUAGGCGGUCCUUUAAGUCUGAUGUGAAAUCUCGCGGCUCAACCGCGAGCGGUCAUUGGAAACUGGAGGACUUGAGUGCAGAAGAGGAGAGUGGAAUUCCACGUGUAGCGGUGAAAUGCGUAGAGAUGUGGAGGAACACCAGUGGCGAAGGCGACUCUCUGGUCUGUAACUGACGCUGAGGUGCGAAAGCGUGGGUAGCGAACAGG
rnacentral:misc_RNA from 1 species